UGUUCUAAAUACUCCAUCUCCCAAUGUUGGGGCGGGGGGGAGGCUCUUCCUUGUCUGUUGUUAAUUGCUGUUUAAAUUUAUUUCUGGUGCAGUGCGAAGCAGGAGCUGCCUGGAAACGUUGUCCAUAUGGUAGGUGGGAAGAGAGAGGAUGUGGCAAUGCUCUGUUUCCCUUUAGUAUAUGACGUGGUGUGAUUUGGGGCCCUGUUACUGAUGUGGUGAAUGUGUGCUGGAUACCAAUAACCAGCAGAAAGCAGGCAUCAUGCUCCCAAUUUGCAUAAGAAGAAACCAAACCCUGCAAGGCUGAGUCAGCCAUGACUGUAAACGCUGUAGAGAUGGGACUAAUUGGAUUGUGAGUGCCUAGAGAGUCUACAUUCUUUCACCUUGACGUUCUCGGAGCCUGCAUAAAGUGAAAUUGACAAUUCCGGCUUUCAUUCUUUUUGGACAUCACACUUUCCUCAAGCUGUACAGAAUGUUCGGGACAGCAGCCCCUUGGAGGAGCCCCAAGGCCACACGCUCUGCAGCAUGGCCCUAACUACUGGGAGUGUGCCUCUUUGAUGGCUCACUACAAGGGCUCCUCCUGGUAUUUGAGGGAAGGGGAAGUGUGCAGGCGGCAAUGAGAAGCUUGGCCACUUUUUGCAGUAGCUGCAAUGCGCUGGCCAUAGCUGCUCUUCUUUCUUCAGCUACUAAUGGCCUCUGAACUGAGCUGCCUGAUGAUAAACACAGGUGGGGUUCAUGGACCCCCAGUCACGAUUGUGACCUGGAUGUUAUGAAGUGCUCACAGUGAGCUUAUCCUAGGACCCCGAUCCCAUGGCAAAGCCGCCAUGAUGAUGACCCACCGUCAAGAGGAUGUGCCUUUCUUAGGACUUUUCCCUGAUUUUUCCAGUGUACUCACCCACAAUUAAACAGUCCUGUG